GACGAACGCUGGCGGCGUGCUUAACACAUGCAAGUCGAACGGAAAGGCCCUGCUUUUGUGGGGUGCUCGAGUGGCGAACGGGUGAGUAACACGUGAGUAACCUGCCCUUGACUUUGGGAUAACUUCAGGAAACUGGGGCUAAUACCGGAUAGGAGCUCCUGCUGCAUGGUGGGGGUUGGAAAGUUUCGGCGGUUGGGGAUGGACUCGCGGCUUAUCAGCUUGUUGGUGGGGUAGUGGCUUACCAAGGCUUUGACGGGUAGCCGGCCUGAGAGGGUGACCGGCCACAUUGGGACUGAGAUGCGGCCCAGACUCCUACGGGAGGCAGCAGUGGGGAAUAUAGCACAAUGGGCGGAAGCCUGAUGCAGCAACGCCGCGUGCGGGAUGACGGCCUUCGGGUUGUAAACCGCUUUCGCCUGUGACGAAGCGUGAGUGACGGUAAUGGGUAAAGAAGCACCGGCUAACUACGUG
rnacentral:rRNA from 1 species